rnacentral:lncRNA from 1 species
GUGAGCAGAGUGCAAACUUCUAAAUCAUGUCAUUAAGCAGCCAAAUUUAUAAAAUUUCCCAUUAUUAAGGAAAGGUAUAGCCACUCAAUGUUAUUGGUAAAAUCAUUUUAUUCUAAAAACAGCAACAACAAUAGCAAACUUACUUGUAAAAUGGCUAAAAUGAAAAACAAAACAACUCAUUUCCAUCAACUUAUUGUAGGAGAACAAUACUGCCACAUAAACAGCAAUAAGACGAAGACUUCUAUUUCUUUUGGUGUAAUUGAAAGCAUCUUGAUAAAUGUCAGCUUGUCUGUUGAAUAAAAUCCAUGUCAACCUGUCACAUAAAAAUACAACAUUUUUUUUUCAUAAUCUCAUGAAGUCAAGGCAUUCCCUGGGCUUCAAGCUUGUUCCAGUGAGAAACAAUAAGAUCUUUAUGCAGCUAUUCACUUUGAGGUAUAAAUAACCAGAACCCCAGAUAAGAAAAUUAUAUUUACAGCCUAACUUUAUUAUUUUAAAAUUGUUGUUUUUCUCCUUAGCAGAUCAGCUGACUGUGGAUUGCUGGAAAUCCCUGCACAUUUUAUCAUGCCUCAGUCAGCAAUAUAUUCUUGGCUUCAGAAACAUUGAUGUUGAAAACCGAACAUCUGGUCUUCCCUUUCUACCCCCGCUUCUACCAUUUCUCCCCCAAAUAAUCAGCAUUUCCUCCUUUGCUUCCCUGGCUUGAGUAGCUUUAAAACUUGAAUUUGGUGUAUAUUACAUUAUAUUUAUUUGGUUUUGAGCCACUUUGAUACUACUUCCAGUUCUGUAAAGUUCUUAGCAGUGCCAUUUCUGUUGUUCCUUUUUAGAAACCACUUAAAAGAAAGAUUAAAUGUUACUCUGAUGGGUUGGAUUAAUUGGUCACUAGUAAAAGGAAUUAUAUCGCUGCCCAAGGUGAGAAUCCUAUUUCUUUCCUCUCACCUAUUAUGGAUAUUUUUAAAACAGACCUAAAUGGAAAUCUUCCCAUAAUGACAUUCUAGACCUGAAGCUUCUUAUUUUUCUAGACCUGGAACUGAAUGCAAAAUGCAAUGUGUAUGUGGUAUGCAUGUUUUCUUUUACUUGACUUUAAUAAGUUUCUCAAAAUGAUCUAUAAGCCUUAUAUUUUAAGAACCACAUUUCUAAGCCAAGAAGAUUCAUCACUUACUUUAUAUAAACCCCCAAAUUUCCUCCUUGAACCACUGCUAAUUUUCACACAGUGUGAGGGAUACUGCUGAAUAUAAACUUGUCGGGUAGAAUAUAGAGAAAAGGCAAAUCCAGAGUGAUCCAACAGCAUUCCCAAAUGCAUCCAAAAUACUGGAGUGCAGGACGCAACCAGGAUUAUUUGAAUUCCAUUUGGAUCCCCAUAAUUCCAUUCUUUUUAAAAACGGGUCAUCCUUUUCUUUAUUAUAAUGAAGCAUUCUUUAAUAUUUCUUGCCUCUCUGGUUGAAGAUGCUUUUGAAAAGCAAGACUUUAGUUGUAUAUUUUUUCUGGAUUCCCUAGCAAUAUAUUUUGAUGCAAUCAUUGAAAAAUGUCAUGCUCUCUCUGGGGUCUUCGCAGUCAAUGGUAACUAAACAUUUGAUUGAGAAGUGUACUUUCUGUGGACUUUUUUAGGGUCACUGCGAUGUGAACAGAACCCAGUAGAAUUCACUUCUGCUGUUUCAUUUUAAAAUAGGGUUGAGAAUGGAAAUAAUGCCUUUCUAAGUGGAACUGAACUUCAACUUUGAAGGGAUGCUAUAGAUUUCUGAGGGAGCAAGAGCUUGUGUCUGGAACCCAGCAUCUCCAUGUGGUUAACAGCUUCUAAAAUUUAUCUCAUGUGUUUAAGGUUUUUUGUAUAAAUUUAAGGGACUUCACAUUUCUAACCAGUGUGUUAACACUUAGAUUAAGACCACACUUACACACCCUUUUCUUACUUAAGAGCAAUUAAAUGGUGUACUAACAAGAAGAAAGUUACUUUAUUUACAGUGUUGAUGGAAAAAUAUUGGCAAUGUGAUAACUAUUACUAUAAAAAUAUGAUUUUUUAAUACUUCUAAACUAACCUUUGAAAAAGGCUGUGUCUUUUUUCUUUUUUUCAAGGCAAGGUUCUUGGAACCACUUGGUGAGUCUAUAUCGAAUAUUUUACUUUCUUUUUUCUGUGAGACAGCAAAAAGUUCAUCCAAAUAGAACCAUGCUUCUACCACAUAAAUCACUCAGAAAAUCUGGUAACUUUCCAUGUGAUUCAGUUAAAUCCUUUAAAUCCCACAGGAGAAUUUACUUGCUUUUGGCAUAUUUCACCAUAUUAGGAGGAAAACCAGUCUCCAGGGACGUGGUGGUUAACGUGAAUGGGCCAAAGGCAGAUGUCCUAAACUCAGUUUUGUUAGCUUAGGCAUUUUCAGAUGGUGUUUCUCUUGGUCAAAGUUCCUCGAGAAGUUUCUUUUCUGUGUCCUCCGUCCCCGCUUAGGUCCCCCACAAUGUCUUUAAAAGGACAGACCCUUUCCUUUUAUAAUUAAAUAUAAGAUUUAAAUGUAGAGGGCCGUUAACAUGUUAAACUAAACCCAGCCUUACCUAACACCAGGAUGGGUGGGUUUGAGUGCACAGCAAGAGAUGCAGGGAGAAUAGAAGAGAGCAAGACACUCGCUGAGAAGUGGAGGGGCUGAAGGAAGCAAACCAAGUCUUCUCCCAUUUCUCAAUUUUGCCCAAGGCUGGCCCACAUGUUAGUGGAUUCUCUGAGCUGAGAUAGAAAUCCACCUUCUGGAGGCGGUUGCUAUUAUAUGGGUUGUGCAAACUCUAAACAACUUUACUCCAGAAGACUUUUGCAUCCUGCAUAUUUUUAAGUUUUAUUACAUAAAUAUGAAUGCACAAUGCCCAGGAAAGAGGUGUUCUGUGUCCUAAGAAGAGUCACUGUUUGUUCAUAGAUGCUCAGGUCAUGACUCACAUGCUUUUUAAGAGACUUUUCUUUCAAGUGAAUGUAAAUGGGGUGGAGGAAGGGAGAGAGGGAGACAAAAUCAGGGACAGAAUGCCAUCCACUAUAAAUUAUAUUGAUGUCACAAUGAAAAGAAAUAGCUCCUCUGCAAGACUUCACAUAUUCAAGUCAACAAAUGGCUAAGUGUUGUAAAUAUUUCCCAGUUCCAUGGGUUUGAGAGUAAAUUUUAAAAAUCAUAUUGGGGCUCUCUGCUAAAGAUAGUAGAAGUCCAGCCUCUCCCAGAGUCAGACUGGUCAUUGGUCAUCUCCACUCCUAGAAGAGUUUCAAACAUCUGUACUUUCAGACUGGAGGAAAUAAGGACCCAGUGGUUGUACUGGAGAAUUUUAUCCCUAAGCCCUGCCUGACAAUACAACGAAACUGACAUCAAGGACGAGUGAAGAAACAAUGAACCAGACAGUCUAUAACCAGCAUGGAACACUAUUGUAGGUGGAGAAUUUCAGGAAAGAGAUAAGAUACAGAAGGCUCUGGGAUCUCCCUAACCAACAUUUCACUGACUAACACCCUAAAACAGGAUCAAACUCUUCACCUUCUCCAGCCAAAUCACUGAAUUGAUGCAAUCCAGGAGGUCUUAAGAACAGUUGUUUUAAGAGAUAUUUGAAAAAAAAAAUAAAGGAUUAACCUCUCCACUUGAUUUUUCCUUAUCACCAAUGUAGCACUUAAACACGAUCCUAUAGUAGUUUAAUUCUUACUAACUUGAGCAGAAAAGAAAAAAAAUUAGAAAGAAAUCAG